CAUUAAAAGCCUGAUAUAGAACUAUUAAAUGAAUCUUGCUCACAUUAAUGAAGUACAUUCGAAUAAAACAUGAAAAGUCUGAUAUAGAACUAUUAAAUGAAUCUUCGUCAAAUUAAAGAAGUACAUUCGAAUAAAACAUCAAAAGCCUGAUAUGGAACCAUUAAAUGAAUCUUCGCCAAAUUGAAGCCAGUGCCUGUAUGUCAACACCCUACCUACUACACUACUCUACAACAUCAGUCUACUUAGGAGACCAUCCGCCGGGUGCUUUCUUCCAGCUACUUUUCAAUAGUCAGUCACCGGUUGGGUGAGCCCCAAGAGUUACAAAUUUUAUUCUUAUUUUAAGUGAGCAUAGUGACCCAUGAGUGGAUGUAUACUCAUGGAAAUAUGUUACAUAUUCUUCAUAUCUUUUUUCAUUUUUAUAUUGUUGUAUUUCUUAGUUCAGGCUAGGGUCUUCUUGUCUCUUUUUAAAAAAUAGUUUGUAGGAUAGAAGUCGGAUGACCCUCCGAUUUCACAAAUAAAAUACAACUUUUAAAAUAUUUUUUUAAUUAAAAGAUACUUAAAUUUUGA